GCCAGCGUGGCAUAGUGGUUUGAGUGUUGGACUAUGACUCUGGAGCCCAGGGUUCAAUUCCCAGGUUGGCC
rnacentral:tRNA from 1 species